rnacentral:tRNA from 1 species
GUCCCGGUAGCUCAGCAGGAUAGAGCAACAGAUUCCUAAUCUGUAGGUCAGAGGUUCGAAUCCUCUUCGGGACGCCA